ensembl:lncRNA
UAUUAACCAGGUUAAAUGUUGAUUAUUAGUAACUCAAACCUCUUUUUCUAAACCUCUCUACCUAACCGUCGAUCGCGCGUGUCCUCCACGUUUGUAGUUUUUCUAACAUGUUUUAUUCUUGUUUGUAGUUCUGGACCGAAUCCUUCGCCAAAGCGCAAUGGAUUAUGGGCAGUUUUAGCCAUUAGAGUGUGCACGGAUCCACACUCAAAAAAACUGACCUGAAAUAUUAGAACAUCUGGGACUUUUGGCAUANCCUUUCCCUCAGGGCUCUUUCGGCUGUUCUCAGAUGUAUAAUAGCAGUUUUGCUGGAGGUUUCCGUGGACCUGGAGGCACAGCAAUGGUGAACUACAGCCAGAUGCCCCUGGGGCCAUACGUCAGCGUGUCCUCAAACGGACCUCCGGCCCCCACCAGCUACCUUGAGAAGAAGUCCAGUGAUGCUCUGCGAGAUGUGGCCACCCCUGAUAUGAAAUCAGGCAAACCUAGCGAUGUUAUAUGCAUUGAGGACUAGCCCGCAGCUGUUCCAUCCUCUUUCUAUACAAUACCUACAGACAAAACCGUGGAGAACUCCUCCAAAUGAUGAAUAUUAAACAGCAAACCUUAUCAGUUGCACUUUUGUCUUUCAGAAUCUGUACAUGUACGCGCCUGUAAGUUUUAUUCGGUAGAGUUCAGUUUCUCUUUUAUUCUUUUUUAACUUCUGCGAUACGAUUGUCUUGAUCAAUCAAGGAAAGACUAAGGACGCUUAUGACGAGGGCACCACUGUUCUGACAGUCCUCUGAGCUUAGCUUUUGGUUUUAAUUAGAAUUAUUAUUUUUACAUCAUGGCUUGUUUUUCUUGAUGGCCAUGAAGAACAUUUUCAUCUCUGCUAACGUUGAGCCAUCUGGAGUUGCAAUUAGUUCCUGGCCAGUUCAAGCACCGGAUGUUGCACCUCUGCAGCCUGUGCUUUGCUCCCGGCUCUACUCAUGGAUUGUGUAUUGUUGCUACCCCUGCAGGUUAUUGCUGUGUAGUGCACCUAAACACAGAGUAGUGCAAUGACUGUCAUUUUCUCUGGAAAACUUCAGAUAAUUUUACAGUUUGUCAGCACUAAUAUUUGAUAUUUGAAUUGUACUGGAUUGUUUUUAGUUUACGUUCCUCUUUAAAAAGAAAAAGAGUGUUCUCCAUGAAGGUUUAAAGGUGUUUUUUUAAAGUUCUGAGACAUAUAAAACAGUUAAAAUUGGUAAUAGCCUAAGAAAAAGCUUAUUUACAUAAAGUUGGGCUACUUCUUGUUAGAUCACAUUACGUACUAAAUAAUACUAACUAAACAAAAAUGACAGAUUGCACCUUUAAAGGACAGAGCAGUAUUAAAUCAAUGGCAAAUGGAAUGUUUCAUGAGCUAAUACUUUGAAAAUCUUGUAAUGUUUCAUUUUAAAUGCAACGUGAACUCUAUUCACAUCAUCUGACAAGCUGUUGAAUACCACCAAAAAAAAAAAAAAAAAUAUCCCUUGGUUUGUAAAAAACAGAACAAAAUUUAUUCAUAGUAAUUAAUUUGGAAAGGAAAUGAACGGAGCAAACCCUGUCCACAAUUUCUUACGUCUGGAAAAUUUUGGUAACAUAUAAAGCAGUCUCACAAUAUAUAUAUAUUCAGUUGUUUUAUGUAAAUUCGAUUUAAAUUAAAUUACAGUUUUAAAUGUUUCAAUUUUCCUGAAUAUGGCCUGUAGGUGCUUCAACACAAUAUAAGUUUCACAUUUCUGGUACAAUGCAUUUAUGUUUGAUUUUACAAAAUGAGGGACAACCCAAAAUUAUAUAUUAUUAUAUACUAUUAUUAGUUUAUUUUCAUGCUAUCAACAGCAUGUCUGGAAUAUUUCUGUUUUUAAUUUCUGGAACAAAGUAAAUUCUACUCCACAGGGAUAUUUGUGCAUUGUUUUUUAUCAUGUUCCUCACAUUCAGAUGGUUUUAAUUUUUAAACUUAAUUCUCUGCAUUUUGUAUUAUUAUUAUCACAUCCUUUUAUUGUCAGAUGCAUUUUGCUUGACAUUUUGUGAACUGCUGAAAACUUGGACCCUAAGUGCAUCAGUUUUACUAAGCCGAGCUUAUGGAUAGUAUUGACAUGAUUGUUCGGGUGCCAUAAGUUUUGUGGAUAUGGAUUGUUUUUGUUUCAAUUUGAAAUGAUAUGCCUUGUGUAACUGUUUUUAAGCAGCGCACUUUAAAUGGAGACCUGAUGUUACCAUAGAGACAGCAUCUCCUAUGGGCCAUUUCAAACGCAGUAGAAACCUCUUUCAAUAACUUGUAUACUCAGUUUCAGUCUGUGGUAUUAGUCAUGUUUAUUAAUGUAAAUUAAGUAUUUUGUUUGUUUUCUGCAUCUCAGCAGCAAUGUAAAUGGCACUUAAGUGUCAUGGCUGACUGUAAACGUGAUCGUAGCUUCUUUUGCAGUAGUUUUAACCUGAGGGGUUCAAAAUGACCAUUUUUGUGUAAACUUUGAAUGUGGGGGAAAAAAUGCAGUUAAAUGUUCACACGCACACUUGCGCUAUAGAGAAACCUCAACUGACUUCAAUGAAACACAAAGACAGCCUCAAGAGUCAAGGGACCUUAAACCCAAGCUUAUAAAGAAAGCCAGCAGCAUAAAAUGUGUUGUGAAAUGAAGUUUUGUUUUAAUCCUGUGUGAUGAGUUUACACCAUUUCAUUUGUACUUUUUAUCAUUUGUACUUAAUACAAGAUUGAUAUUAAGCUCAAUUUAAAUGCAAUCAAACUGAAGCCAAACGGAAUGUAUUUAGUAUUUAAAAAGCUUCAGUCUAAUAUUAGAAGUCUUUUCAUUCAAGUACAAACUAGGCUUCAAAAGCUUCCAAAAGACCCUGGUUAAGACAACUUCGUUGCAAUGAACACAACAUGUAAGAUGUCUUCAGAUUACUUAGGACCAGAGGGAUCUUUGUUCUGGUUUUUAAACAGCUAUGAAAAACAGUAAACAGUUAUUUUGCAGAGAUAAGAACGUAGGAAAACAGACAAGUGAACUACCAUCAUUUCACUUUGUACUCAGUGUAUUGUUUAAUGUGUUUUAAUAAAUCCUCUACAAUGUGCCCCCCCCCUCCCACCUUGUUAAACACACUUUGAUUUACGGAAAAAACAAAGGANUUUGGGACACACUUAUUCUAAUCUCACAUACUAUUUAGGAUGGAUGGUAUGAACAAUGCGGUAUGAACAGUGACCUCUCUUAUAAGAUGGAUUUUUUUUUUUCAUGGCAAACUCUAAAAAAUAGUUCAAUCCAAAACUAUUGUUUUGUGUAAAACAUAUUGAACAUUAGCAGAUAGGCUGUCGAUUUAUUACAUGAUAAACCGUUUCCUCUAA